rnacentral:lncRNA from 1 species
UUGUGAAGUGGGCUGUUGGUAAUGUCUCUAUAUUGGGUGUACCUUUCCAGAACCACUUGUACGAAACUGAGAGCCUCAAAUUAUAUAUAAAAUAUAAACCCACAAAUUACAGUGUUUUUAAAACAGGAAAGAAAAAGGAAAUGGCAGCAAGCAAAGCAAUUAGCAAAGAAAGUUGAAAGCUACAUCACAUGGAAUCGCCCAGAAAGCAGCAGAAACACAAAAAGAAACAGAAAGAAGAAGAAGAAGAAGAAGAAGAAGAAGGAAGUGUGGGUGCAUAAAGAAAAGAAAACCCCAUGUUUUUGUUUUCUUUUGUUUUUGCAGAUAAAGAUACAGUUCCGCUUUCUUCAUUUUUUCUGUAUUCCGAAAACAAUUGUCCACUGUAAUAUUUGUAGUAAAAAGAAUAUAUAAUAAUAAUAAUAAUAAAUAGUAAUACGAUACGUACCCUGACCGCGCGUGCCGUCCGGAACGCGAGACUUAUCUUGAGACCGAUAAACUUUUUCUGAUUCGGACGGGCAGCAGAAAACGACAUGAGCUUAUCGGCAUUUUCCUUAACGGGCAGGACUGUCCAAUCUAGUCGCCGUCCCU